rnacentral:tRNA from 1 species
UCUCUGGAGGACUAGUGGUUAGGCCACGGCGCUCUCACCGCUGCGGCCUGGGUUCAAUUCCCGACCAGGGAA